rnacentral:lncRNA from 1 species
AUGAUGUAUAAUUCAAGCAUGCUUGGUGAUCUCAAACCAAUCACAAGGAGUCCCACCCAAAGGAAAAGCGAACCAAGAUGCUCAUGAUCCUUGAGGCUACGCAAAUGCAAUGUUACUAUGCCAUGAGGGAUCUUAGGGUCAAAAUUGGGGUCUUACAGGGUACUACCCAACCCAUGAAUGAAUUUUUCUUUAUUCAAUUGAAAGAUGUGGCUACCUGUAGAUUCAGGUUCGAGGAAGCUUUUGGAAGAAGCCGUAAGAGUAAUCCUUCC